CUCGUGUGUUGAUUUUUCUGAAAGUCUCUGAGUGUCUGUGUCCGUACUCGCAGAACUUGUGUUCCUGUGUAAACGAGUGAGAUUAUAUAAUGGAGGUGGCUAGAACUUUUAUGGUGGUCCAUUAAGGGGUCCUUAUGGUCCCAAACCCUAACCCUAGUUUCUUUGCUAGGGUUGCACCCGCUUGUGUGAUUGGGGCCACAGCCAUGUGAAUUCCUCAUGGGCUAGGCGGAGUUUCAGUCUUUUGUGUUGAUUUUGAUCUUUUGUUUUCAUUGGUUAUCUACUCAGAAAAACCUUAAUCUGACACAUGACUUCCAUCCAAUAAUGUGUUUCAUGCAGCAUCAGUUUCUUGAGUUGACAAGAACCAGUAACUCGGCGGUAAAGAAGGCGGAGGACAAAAAGGCAGACGCUGAGUUCUCGUUGCAUCUGUAUUGUAUAACGGAGUUCUUAGGGUCGCAGUUUUGCUGACAAGACACUCUUACUUCAUCUUCUUUCAUGCUGCCACCAACCAAGGUUACUGUCACAAAUUAACACUCAAGUCUUUUUCCUGUUGUCACAAUGUCAUGAACAACGUGGAUUGCAGAAACGCUUUGAUUUGAUCCAGAAAUAAAGGGAUAUGCAAUGUAGAAACUAGGAAAAGCUUCACUUUUGUAUCAUUCAUUCUAGUAAAAGUGCUUUCAUAGAUAUUUCCCG